rnacentral:rRNA from 1 species
CGUUAUCCGGAAUUACUGGGCGUAAAGCGUACGCAGGCGGNAUGGUAAGUCUGACGUGAAAUCUCCUGGCUUAACUGGGAGAGGUCGUUGGAGACUGCUGUGCUUGAGACAAUGAGAGGGGUGCAGAAUUCCCGGUGUAGUGGUGGAAUGCGUAGAUAUCGGGAGGAAUACCAGAGGCGAAAGCGGCACCCUGGCAUUGGUCUGACGCUCAUGUACGAAAGCGUGGGUAGCAAACGGGAUUAGAUACCCCGGUAGUCCACGCCGUAAACGAUGAGUACUAGGUGUGGGUGGAGUCAAAUCCAUCUGUGCCGUAGGAAACGCNNUAAGUACUCCGCCUGGGAAGUACGGNCGCAAGGCUAAAACUCAAAGGAAUUGACGGGGNCCCGCACAAGCAGGGGAGCNUGUGGCUUAAUUCGAUGCAA